UACAGAGGUCCCGAGCGUUGUUCGGAUUCACUGGGCGUAAAGGGUGCGUAGGUGGCUUGAAAAGUUUGAUGUGAAAGCUCAGGGCUUAACCCUGAAAUGGCAUUGAAAACUGUCGGGCUGGAGGUUUGGAGGGGGGACUGGAAUUCUUGGUGUAGCAGUGAAAUGCGUAGAUAUCUGGAGGAACACCGGUGGCGAAGGCGGCAUCCUGGACCGGUAUUGACGCUGAGGCGCGAAAGCCAGGGGAGCAAACGGG
rnacentral:rRNA from 1 species